CCUACGGGUGGCAGCAGUGGGGAAUAUUGGGCAAUGGAGGCAACUCUGACCCAGCAACGCCGCGUGAAUGAUGAAGGUCUUCGGAUUGUAAAGCUCUGUGCUGGGGGAUGAACACAAUGACGGUACCCCAAUAGCAAGCCACGGCUAACUACGUGCCAGCAGCCGCGGUAAUACGUCGGUGGCAAGCGUUAUCCGGAAUGACUGGGGGUAAGGGGUGCGUAGGUGGUUUAGUAAGUUGGCGGUGUAAUUCCGGGGCUCAACCUCGGCGCUACCGCCAAAAUUAUUAUACUAGAGUGCGGGAGGGGUAAGGGGAAUACCUAGGGUAGCGGUGGAAUGCGUAGAUAUUAGGAGGAACAUCAGGGGCGAAGGCGACUUACAGGACUGUAACUGACACGGAGGCACGAAAGCGUGGGGAGCAAACAGGAUUAGAUACCGAGUAGUC
rnacentral:rRNA from 1 species